rnacentral:rRNA from 8 species
UGUUUCGGCUAGGGGGCCAUCCCGGCUUACCAACCCGAUGCAAACUGCGAAUACCGGAGAAUGUUAUCACGGGAGACACACGGCGGGUGCUAACGUCCGUCGUGAAGAGGGAAACAACCCAGACCGCCAGCUAAGGUCCCAAAGUCAUGGUUAAGUGGGAAACGAUGUGGGAAGGCCCAGACAGCCAGGAUGUUGGCUUAGAAGCAGCCAUCAUUUAAAGAAAGCGUAAUAGCUCACUGGUCGAGUCGGCCUGCGCGGAAGAUGUAACGGGGCUAAACCAUGCACCGAAGCUGCGGCAGCGACGCUGAUGCGUUGUUGGGUAGGGGAGCGUUCUGUAAGCCUG